GUUCUAAAACAUAUCAUCUUAUGUCACGGCGUUGGUUUGCCCAUGCUUCUCCUACUCUUUUCAAUGCAAGGACACCAAGGCCUCAAUUGAGUAGAGGCUUCCAUGUGUGCAUGAUAGAGGACAAUAUUGAAGGAAUAUACGACACUUUGAAGGAGUGUGCUGUUAUUAGUAAAUCUGCUGGAGGAAUUGGAGUUUCUGUACACAACAUCGAUGCCACUAGUCUUAGCUUUGAAGGAUCUUUCUCUGGAUGGAACACUGGCUCCUGAAAUUUGUAAUCUUUUGUACACGAAGUUGAUAUAGUGUCACUGGGUAGGAGAAAGUUCAGCACAGAUUUUCAGACUGCUAAAGGCGUUGAUGUUCUUUGGAUUUAUAGUGACGCAUUGAUUGAUGAAUGGAGAAUACACAAGAAGCAAGUUAUGGCUUCAUGACCUUGCUGGAAGUGAGAGAUUAGC